rnacentral:rRNA from 1 species
GGGUUGUGAGGUUAAGCGACUAAGCGUACACGGUGGAUGCCCUGGCAGUCAGAGGCGAUGAAGGACGUGCUAAUCUGCGAUAAGCGUCGGUAAGGUGAUAUGAACCGUUAUAACCGGCGAUUUCCGAAUGGGGAAACCCAGUGUGAUUCGUCACACUAUCAUUAACUGAAUCCAUAGGUUAAUGAGGCGAACCGGGGGAACUGAAACAUCUAAGUACCCCGAGGAAAAGAAAUCAACCGAGAUUCCCCCAGUAGCGGCGAGCGAACGGGGAGGAGCCCAGAGCCUGAAUCAGUGUGUGUGUUAGUGGAAGCGUCUGGAAAGGCGCGCGA